rnacentral:rRNA from 1 species
CCUACGGGUGGCAGCAGUGGGGAAUAUUGGACAAUGGGGGCAACCCUGAUCCAGCCAUGCCGCGUGUGUGAAGAAGGCCCUCGGGUUGUAAAGCACUUUCAGUGAGGAAGAACGCCUGGUGGUUAAUACCCAUCAGGAAAGACAUCACUCACAGAAGAAGCACCGGCUAACUCCGUGCCAGCAGCCGCGGUAAUACGGAGGGUGCGAGCGUUAAUCGGAAUUACUGGGCGUAAAGCGCGCGUAGGUGGCUUGAUAAGCCGGUUGUGAAAGCCCCGGGCUCAACCUGGGAACGGCAUCCGGAACUGUCCAGCUAGAGUGCAAGAGAGGAAGGUAGAAUUCCUGGUGUAGCGGUGAAAUGCGUAGAGAUCGCGCGGAAUACCAGUGGCGAAGGCGGCCUUCUGGACUGACACUGACACUGAGGUGCGAAAGCGUGGGUAGCAAACAGGAUUAGCUACCCUUGUAGUC